rnacentral:tRNA from 1 species
UGGGGCGUGGCCAAGUGGUUAAGGCGCCGGGUUUUGAUCCCGGUAUUCCCUGGUUCGAAUCCAGGCGCCCCAGCCA